rnacentral:snoRNA from 13 species
ACCUGUAUCGAAAGUGAUCAUGGUAACCUUGUAGCCAGGUCAUCGAUAGUACAGGAAGAGCAACCAGAGAGCUUUUCCCGUGUUUGUGGGACUGUUCCCAUCAAACCCUGGCGCUCUCAUACA